AGUAGGGCUUGAUGGGAACACAGAAAGUCUGAGUUAUCGGCAGUCUGUAGGGAUUAGAAAUAGAGCUAGGACUUCAAAACUAUAUUGGUUUUGGAAAAUGGUUGUAAUAGGUUCAGUGGUAGCUAUUCUAAGAAAUUGGAAGGAAUUGUCCAAAUUCCUCUGACAGGCAGCUAGCUCACUUGACCUUGGGGUAAAGUGCAACAGAGUAAAAGUUCCUCCAUUGGCCUGGUCUCUAAAUUGCUAUGGACAAAGAUAGCCUGUGGUGACUCUCCAGGUAGGGAAAACAGUAGACCUUGACAUAAGUUGUCAUUGAAAACUACUUACAAACUAACAAAAAGUAAAACCCCUCACUUAUUUUACCACGCCAGCAUUUCUUGGGUUCAGAAUUUGUUAGGCAUCCGUUUUCAGUCUAUACUCAAUGGCCUGACUUGUUUAUAAUCAAUAGCUUUGUUGAUGAUGUAUGACUGAAUUCAGUGUUGGCAAUCCAUUUUUGUUUUCUUGCAGAGAAGAGUUCCCUCAACAACCUACACAGAAAUCACUGCUACUCUUGUGGAGUGGUAGUCCUUUCCUCUGUCCUGUACUCAAAGGACAGCUGCAUUUUCUCAUGUCAGGACCUACCCAGUCUCUUCAGCCAACCCACACUGAUAAACAAAGAGGUGACCUCAACCCUGCGCGUGUUCUCCUUACAUAGCAGGAUUCCUCUCUGUCUAUAUGACUUCAAAGAGAGCGGUGAGAGGCUGUAGGGUAGAUUGAAACACUGUUAGCAUCAUAUUCCUUUCAUACACAUGACACAGGCAGAAUCAGGAAACACCCGGAUGACUUUAAUAAGCAUUAGUUUAACAUUUAGAAAGUAAGAAUUCUGUAUAAUUGAGCAAGCAAAUAGAUUUACAUAAAUAGUAAAACUCAAUCAAAGCCUUCAAUAUGUCUGUUUCCCACCCCAUGCCCUGUGUACGUAAAUCUGAAAAUAUGUAAAGUCAAUUAUUGGCAAGAAGUUUUUGAUAUACGUUUGUCCUAAAUCAUCACUUAACUGCUACUUUUCUCCUGUUAGUAACAGUAAUUCGGCAUUAGCGUUUUUCUGCAUAUCACACCUCUUCACACAUACAGAAGUGAUGCAUGUACAUACACAUGGAGUUUUGGGCUACAGAGAUUAUUUUAAUUCAAUCCUCCUGGCUCUGUUUUUUUUUUUUUAAGUUACUUAAGAAAAGCCCUGGAACAAAUGUCCCUAAGACAUGGAUCAUCUUUACCACCCAGACUUCAUUCUACAAGAAUGAAGGUAGAACAUGGGAUUCCUGGUCCUUAAGAAUGAUGUCAGUGGGCUUUGUGACUUCAUGUUGUCUGAAACACUAAGUGGAGAAACCUUCCAAACCAGGGCAUUUUGGAAUGCUGGAAUAUUUCAUGUGAUUAUAGGGCUUUUGUCCAUAUUCUGAUCAUAAACUUUCAUAGAUGGUUUGUUGUUGUUUGUAUUGAGUUAUGUGGCCCACACUAACCUUCUACACUUCAGGGAUCUUCCUGAUUUAAGAGUCUCAAAAUAGCUAGGACUUCACAUCUUACCAGCUUCUUUUAACCGGUGUUCACUAGCCCUCUAUUUUUUCUACACAUUAGGCAGACAUUGAUGCUCAGUUAUUUUUUUUUCUGUGCUGCUCAUACUCUCAUUUAGUGGGGAAGAAGCCCCGAGUCCUCCAGGAACUGUUCAUACUGUAAAGUCUGAUAUUACACAAGAAUAGUGAAUUUUAACAAUGUUAGGCUCUAAUCAGUGAAUAAUAAAUAUUUUCUUGUCAAUUAGUUCUUGAGUCUGAAUAUAUUGUCUUAUGCAAAAGUGUUUUAUUAUAGUUAAAAUAUCUCAAUUGUGUCUGAGGCAGUCACAGUGGACUGGGAUGGAGAGCUGCCUUACCAACCGAGUAUUUCAUAUUUUCUUUCUUUGAGCCCCAUGGCUCAGUAGGAAAUUUAGAAGAAUCCACAGCUUAAUGGUGACUGAGAAUCAGGGCUGAUUCUAGCAAGCCAAUCACAUAACUUCAUUUGAGCACAUUUUCCUAAGGAGUAUGAACAAAAGAAGAAAUUGAGACUGCUUGAAGAGAGUUCCUGGGGAAGAUCGUCCCCAUGGCCCUCUCAUCAAAAGUUCAGAUCUGCAUUUUCAGAGAACAGAAUGUGAUUUCAUCCAGAGAUCUGAAACACUCUUAAACGUUAAAACUUUUUUUCCUAAGAUGUUCUAAGGUACUGUUAUUGCAGAUAAAGCUGGAAGUAUUGAUGAUCAGUAUGGAAAUGAUGAGGAAUACACAAUUCAGCUAGGAAAGCAUCACCAUCUGGAAACCAAGGACCUCCCCUGUGCCAUGCUUUGGAGAGGAUGCACACUUGAAACAGGAACUCUCUCGGAACUGAACUGGGACACUUUAAGGAUCUUAUGACAACCCUUUACUACAUAAAAGAAUUUGGGCCUGAAGGUAGAAAACAGCCAAAAGAAACACCUUCAAUCCUGUGGAUCAAGCAAGUGACAUGACUGGGAGCUGCAGAUGGCAUCUGUCACGUAAUGCACACAGCCAAAUCACACCUGUCGCUGUUUGUAAGCAAAAGAGAAACAGCCAUUUGCAUAGAUCAGGCUCUUUUAAUUCUCAGUGUGCCUGACUUCAGUUUAUCUCGUGGAAAUCAGAAAGAUUAAGCAAAUUAAGACAAAACAGGCAGCGAG